UUCAUAGUUUCCCCCCAGGAUGGGUGGGUUCACUAUUAUUUUCCUUUGAUGAUUAAAGCAUCAGCAUUUUUAACAACUAUGUCAUGUCUGAAUGCAUUAAUCUCUUUCACUCAUCCAUGAUCAGUGUGUGACGCUUUGG